rnacentral:rRNA from 1 species
GUGCCUACGGGACGCAGCAGUAGGGAAUCUUCCACAAUGGGCGAAAGCCUGAUGGAGCAAAGCCGCGUGGGUGAAGAAGGUCUUCGGAUCGUAAAACCCUGUUGUUAGAGAAGAAAGUGCGUGAGAGUAACUGUUCACGUUUCGACGGUAUCUAACCAGAAAGCCACGGUUAACUACGUGCCAGCAGCUGCGGAAAUACGUAGGUGGCAAGCGUUAUACGGAUUUAUUGGG